rnacentral:snRNA from 1 species
CCUCUGGUCGAUGGAACAAUG